GUUGGUGGGUAAUUGCGUAUGACUUAUGUCGUAUGAGGAAAGUCCAUGCUCGCACUGACUGCGAUGUCAGUAGUGUUCGUGCUAGCUGAAAAAAUAAGGCUAGGCAGCUUUUUAAGUUGACGGCCAACGAAAUACCUAAGGUUUUCUAUGGUUUAGUAGUUGCCAAGGUGCCACAGUGACGAAUCAAUUUAGAAAUGAAUUGAAUGGAACGCGGUAAACCCCACGAGCGGGCAACCCAAACUUUGGUAGGGGCGCUUGACCUAACUAAUUGAAGUGAUGGUCGGGGGGAUAUAGUAAUAUCCGAGAUAGAUGAUUACCACCGACAAUAGAUUGCCAUUCUAUUUGUUGGAACAAAACAUGGCUUAUAGCC
rnacentral:RNase_P_RNA from 1 species